CCUCCCUCUCCUAAAAUGGUUCAUCACGAGAUUCCUACUCACAAACCCUAAGCGGCUCAAGCGUUAUGGCUCGUGGGCUAUGGUCACUGGAGCCACAGAUGGAAUCGGACUAGCCUUCGCUCACGAGCUAGCAAAACACGGCCUCAACCUUAUCCUAGUCAGCAGAAACCCUUUGAAGCUCGCCUCCGUCUCCGAUGAUUUCCGACAAGAGUUUCCACAAAUAAAGAUCAAGAUCAUUCCCUUUGACUUCUCCUCUGGUAAUUCUAAAUGCACUUUCUUACUUUUUCAAUGCAGUCUGGCCUCACUUCUUCUUCGGCCAAUCGUAUUGAGCUAGUUCACAAAGAGUUAUCGACUACUCGUUUGUGUGUGUGUGCUCACGCAUAUAAUUACUACAUGAUUGUAACAUUGGAUAGUUUAUUGUUCUUUCUCAAAAGAAAAAUCUUGAUUCAACAGCCAGGAUGAAAAAUAUAAUUACUCCGUACAAAUAAUUCGAAACAUAAAUGAAUAUAUAGAGUACACAAUUACAUUUAGAAGUGUAUUUGUAAGAGAGCCGCAAAAUAUACUAGACUUUGUUAUAGUAUAACGAAAAAAUAAAAUAAUACAUGCACUUACAAGAUUAAAUACAAGAUUAAAAUUUAAAACCCAAAUGUUUCUUAAAAUACAUAUUUGUUAAUUAUUUCGAACUCUAAUACAAAUUUGAGCACUAUGUAUUUUGUUAAGAGUAUUUAUGGACCUAAACUCUAUUAGAAUCAUUGCCCGAAAAAAAAUUCUAUUAGCAUCCAAUUAAUUUAGGAUAAUAAGAUGAUUUCCUGACAAUAAUGAAUAAUCCAAGAAAACAACUGUACGUUGCUCAUUUGCAAUGGUUCCGUAGUAAAACGACAAGGAGGGUAAACGCCAUCAUGCCAUGUUAGGUUCAUCCAUCACAAAGCUAUAGACGUUGGAGAAAUUAUUGAAAUUAAAUAUUUAAUAAUAAACCAAUUCAAAUUAAGAACUCAGUUGGGCAUAAUUAAGUAAAUUUUAUAUUGUGAUUUUAAUGUUUAGAAAAACCAUUCGGGUUUUACAAAGAUUAGUAUGAACUUCGGCUUAGGAUCAACCGUUUUAGUUUCAGUAAAAUCAAUGGAAAACAUUUCAUUUCUUAAAGGUGAUUGCAUCAUAAAUAUUUACUUGUUUUGUAAAAAACUUUUUUUACCACUUAUUUAGGCGAUAUACUUCUGAGUUUCCGUCUACGAAAAUGAGACACAAAACUCAAGAAAUAUAGCAAAUGUGAUAUAGAAUUAGAAAUAUCAAAUAUGUAUUUGUGAGUAGUGAAUAAUGAUAAAAUUAUUCAGAAGGAGGAUAUGGAGCCAUCGAGGAGGGAAUCAAAGGCGUUGAAGUUGGAAUUCUUAUCAACAACGUGGGGAUAACUUAUCCACGAGCCAUGUUCUUCCACGAGGUUGACCAACUUACAUGGACUAAAAUCGUUAGGGUUAAUCUUGAAGCCACCACUUGGGUCACAAGAUCACUCAUCGGACCAAUGCUUCACCGCCGUCGAGGAGCCAUCGUCAAUAUUAGCUCCGGUGCUGCCGUUGUUGUCCCUUCUCAUCCUCUCUACGCCAUCUACGCCGCCACCAAAGCGUUAAGACUUUCCACGCUCACUUUUCUUUUAUUUAGUUUUUCAUCUGGUCAAUGCACAUUUCAAAAUUAUAGUACUCAUGAACAACAUAACCGUGCAGAACUAUUAGGUCUUAAGAAAAAUAUUUAGGACACUAAUUUUUUUUUUACAAGAUAUGUUAUGUCAAUUAAGACGGAAAUUUAUCUAUAACUAUAGAGAUAAGGACAUAACUUGUAGAUAAAGAUAACUAUGUAUUGUAGUUAUCUAAAUCCCCUAAAGGUUAGGAGAUCCUUCUUGUAUAUAUACACUAUGACGUACAUCAAUAUACACAACAGAUUACAUUCUAUUUUAUGGUAUCAGAGCUAAGGCACGAUACUUGACCUUUUUCUCUGCUUUCGCUUACAUAUUUUUUCUCUACUACAUCAAAUCGUGUUGAUCGUUUUUCAUGUCGUCAACAACGAGUUCUUCUACUUCUACUUCUUCUACUACGGAGAGCUCUGUUUCAAACUCUCCUUACAACCUUCAUCCCUCUGAUAAUCCUGGUGCCCUAAUUACACCAGUACUUCUCCGAGGAGAUAACUACUCCGAGUGGGCAGUAGAGCUGUGGAACUCUCUACAGGCUAAACAAAAGAUCGGAUUUCUCGAUGGCUCAGUACUUAAACCUACCACCAAUCCCGAUCUUGCCCGCUGGACCUCUACUAAUUCUAUGAUAGUAGGCUGGAUUCGAACGUCUAUCGAUGCUCAAGUUCGUUCAACCGUGACUCAUGUUGCAGAUGCUUCGAAACUGUGUGAAUCUCUAAAACAACGUUUCUCAGUCAAGAAUGCCGUACGCAAGCAUCUUCUUCAAGACGAAAUCACUAAUUGUAAACAGAAUGGCCAGUCUGUUCUGGAGUAUUAUGGCCGUCUUUCCAAGUUAUGGGAAGAAAUUCAAAACUUCAAACCCGUUGUGUCUUGUACAUGCACUGCUUCUGCUGAACUUGAGAAGGAGCGAGAGGACGCUAAAAUUCACAAGUUUCUCUUUGGUCUCGAUGAAGUGAGGUUCAAUACCAUUCGAUCUCAAAUCAUUGACGAGGACCCUCUUCCAGAAUUAAACACCGUUUAUUAAAGAGUCAUUCGAGCUGAGCAGCACAUCAACAACAUGCGCACUGCAGAUACAAAACAGGACGCAGUUGGCUUCUCAAUCAAAUCAGAUAUCACUCCCGCUUCUAUAACUGCCGCAGCUGUUGCGACUCGAAGUCGUGAUCCUGCUCGAUCUUGUACUCACUGUAAACGUACAGGACAUGAAGCCUCCGAAUGUUUUCUUCUACAUGGCUACCCGGAAUGGUUUCUCGAACAACAACAACGCAAUUCUUCACGCAACUUCUCUGGAAACAGAGGACGUGGAGGACGUUCAUCCAGCUCCAGUGGACGUGGACGUGGACGUUUGAAUGCUGCCUCUGCUUCUGUUAGUGCUCCAUCAUCUACCUCUACAACCGAUCAAAUUUCAGCUCUCAUCACCUUGCUUCAGUCACAACAAUCUCAACUCUCCACUGAUCGCUUGUCUGGUAAAACUGAUCUUUCUGAUGUUAUUAUCGAUACUGGUGCCUCUCACCAUAUGACAGGCGACUUGUCUCUCUUACAAGAUGCAAUAGAUAUUAUACCGUCUGCGGUUACUUUCCCGGACGGCACUGCUUCGCGCGCUACAAAAAUUGGCCGCAUAUCUCUUACUAAAGAUUACAUACUUGUUAAUGUGCUUUAUGUACCAAACUUCAAUUGCACAUUGAUCUCAGUAUCAAGACUACUCAAGCAAACCGGUUGUAUUGCUAUAUUUACUGACACUCUUUGUGUUUUACAGGACCGUUUUACGAGGACCUUGAUUGGAGCCGGUGAAGAAAGAGAUGGGGUGUACUACUUCAAGGGUGUCAAAGUUGCUCGUUCACAUCAGACUUCUGCGAAAACUAUUUCUCAUGCAGUCCUAUGGCAUCGACGUCUUGGUCACCCUUCCUACAAAGUGCUUUCUACAUUACCUGUGUUUUCUGAUUUAAAAGUCGAUUUUGAGGAUUCUCACUCAUGUGAUAUUUGUUUUCGUGCCAAGCAAACACGUUCAGUCUUUCAUGAUAGUUUUAAUAAAGCUUUGGAACCUUUUUCAUUAAUUCAUUGUGACGUUUGGGGUCCGUAUAGAACUCUAUCAUCAUGUGGUGCUGCUUACUUUCUUACCAUUGUUGAUGACUACUCUAGAGCUGUGUGGACAUAUCUUAUGUUGGAAAAGUCAGAAGUUAAGGACUUGAUCAAGAACUUCUGUGUUAUGAAUGGAAAACAGUUCGGGAAACAAGUAAAAACCAUUCGAACAGAUAAUGGCUCUGAGUUCAUGGUCUUGUCUUCAUAUUUUCGUCAAAAUGGUAUCCAACACCAAACCUCCUGCGUCGACACACCUCAACAGAACGCUCGCGUUGAACGCAAGCAUAGGCACAUCCUCAACAUCGCACGCUCACUUCUGUUUCAAGCCAAACUACCAGUUACUUUUUGGGGCGAGAGAGCAUACUCACAGCGGCUCAUCUCAUUAACCGGACACCGUCUGUUGUUCUACAUGGAAGUACUCCGUAUGAACUGUUACACGGUUCAAAACCUUCAUACGACUCUUUACGCACCUUUGGAUGCCUCUGCUACGCUCACAGACGACCUCGCAACAGAGACAAGUUCAGUGAUCGCAGCCGAAAGUGUCUUUUUGUGGGCUAUCCCUACGGAAAGAAAGCCUGGAAACUUUAUGAUAUCGACAGUAAUGAAUUCUUUGCCAGCCGCGACGUUGUUAUUCUUGAAGAACAGUUUCCAGGAGUUACAGAUACAUCAUAUGUUACACCACCAAUCUAUCAACCAGAUGCUACAAUCGAUGACUGGUUACUUCCUACUACACCAGCAUGCUCCGGUGAUACUACUGCACCAGUGAUUUCUACCACUACACCAGUGGCUUCUGACCCUGCACCAGUGGUCCCUUCUCCAUUACUACCUAUUACACAAACUACAGACGUUGCUCUUCCACCAGCGGCACAUGAUACUACUAAUGCGUCUGAGUCUCCAUCACCUGGAUCUUCCUUUACUCAACCUAGUUCUCCGAUUGCACAGUCUACGCCUGCUACUACUAUUUCAGACACUCCUCCAUCACCUGGUCUUCCUGAGUUACUAGGUCGUGGUCAUCGUAGCCACAAGCCGUCUGUUCUUCUCAAAGACUACGUGGUUAAUGUUUCUACAGUUAGUACACCCCCCAUCACUUCUCUUUCAUCGACUCCUACUUAAGGUCCUCCUGUCUCGGUCUCAGGUAUUACUCCCUAUCCCAUCGACUCUUACUUGUCUCAAGCUCGUUUCUCAGUUGCACAUACAGCUUUUUUGGCUGCACUAACGUCUACUAACGAUCCUAAGUCUUUCAAAGAAGCUUCUCUUGAUGAUAUUUGGAAUAACUCCAUGACUGACGAGUACACAGCGCUUGACGCAAAUCACACAUGGGACAUUACCUCAUUACCAAAAGGCAAAAAGGCGAUAGCUUGCCAAUGGAUCUAUAAAACGAAGUUUGACGCCAACGGCAAGGAAACUCGCAAAAAGUCUCGUUUGGUAGCUUGUGGGAAUCGUCAAAGAGAAGGCCUUGAUUAUACGGAUACAUUCGCUCCAGUAGCCAAACCAACUACCGUGCGUCUGCUCCUUGAGAUUGCUGCUACUAAAAGAUGGGAAAUUCAUCAGAUGGAUGUUCAUAAUGCGUUCUUGCAUGGUGAUUUAAAAGAGGAAGUUUAUAUGAAGUUGCCACCUGGUUUCGAAGAUCCUGAUCCUACAAAGGUUUGUCGUCUCCGCAAGUCCAUUUAUGGGCUCAAACAAUCACCUAGAUGUUGGUUUGAAAAACGCGGCUCAGGCGUUAUGGCUCGUGGGCUAUGGUCACUGGAGCCACAGAUGGAAUCGGACUAGCCUUCGCUCACGAGCUAGCAAAACACGGCCUCAACCUUAUCCUAGUCAGCAGAAACCCUUUGAAGCUCGCCUCCGUCUCCGAUGAUUUCCGACAAGAGU
rnacentral:lncRNA from 1 species